rnacentral:rRNA from 1 species
UUCCGGUUGAUCCUGCCGGACCUGACUGCUAUCGGAUUGAUACUAAGCCAUGUGAGUCAUUGUAGUAAUACAAGGCAGACGGCUCAGUAACACGUAGCCAAUCUAACCUAUGGACGGGGAUAACCUCGGGAAACUGAGGAUAAACCCCGAUAGAUCAUUAUGCCUGGAAAGGUUUAUGGUCCAAAUGAUUCGUCGCCGUAGGAUGAGACUGCGGCCUAUCAGCUUGUUGGUGAGGUAAUGGCCCACCAAGGCUAUUACAGGUACGGGCUCUGAGAGGAGAAGCCCGGAGAUGGGUACUGAGACACGGACCCAGGCCCUAUGGGGCGCAGCAGGCGAGAAACCUUUGCAAUGUGCGCAAGCACGACAAGGUUAAUCCGAGUGUUUCCUGCUUAAGGAAUCUUUUGUUAGUCCUAAAAACACUAGUGAAUAAGGGGUGGGCAAGUUCUGGUGUCAGCCGCCGCGGUAAAACCAGCACCUCAAGUGGUCAGGAGGAUUAUUGGGCCUAAAGCAUCCGUAGCUUGCUCUGUAAGUUUCCGGUUAAAUCCAUUAGCUCAACUAAUGGGCUGCCGGAAAAACUGCAGAGCUAGGAAGUGGGAGAGGUAGACGGUACUCGGUAGGAAGGGGUAAAAUCCUUUGAUCUAUUGAUGACCACCUGUGGCGAAGGCGGUCUACCAGAACACGUUCGACAGUGAGGGAUGAAAGCUGGGGGAGCAAACCGGAUUAGAUACCCGGGUAGUCCCAGCUGUAAACGAUGCAGACUCGGUGAUGCGCUGGCUUGUGGCCAGUGCAGUGCCGCAGGGAAGCCGUUAAGUUUGCCGCCUGGGAAGU